rnacentral:rRNA from 1 species
GACGAACGCUGGCGGCGUGCCUAAUACAUGCAAGUUGAGCGAUGAAGAUUGGUGCUUGCACCAAUUUGAAGAGCAGCGAACGGGUGAGUAACGCGUGGGGAAUCUGCCUUUGAGCGGGGGACAACAUUUGGAAACGAAUGCUAAUACCGCAUAACAACUUUAAACAUAAGUUUUAAGUUUGAAAGAUGCAAUUGCAUCACUCAAAGAUGAUCCCGCGUUGUAUUAGCUAGUUGGUGAGGUAAAGGCUCACCAAGGCGAUGAUACAUAGCCGACCUGAGAGGGUGAUCGGCCACAUUGGGACUGAGACACGGCCCAAACUCCUACGGGAGGCAGCAGCAGGGAAGCUUCGGCAAUGGACGAAAGUCUGACCGAGCAACGCCGCGUGAGUGAAGAAGGUUUUCGGAUCGUAAAACUCUGUUGGUAGAGAAGAACGUUGGUGAGAGUGGAAAGCUCAUCAAGUGACGGUAACUACCCAGAAAGGGACGGCUAACUACGUG